rnacentral:rRNA from 1 species
ACGAACGCUGGCGGCGUGCUUCACACAUGCAAGUCGAACGGAAAGGCCCUGCUUUUGUGGGGUGCUCGAGUGGCGAACGGGUGAGUAACACGUGAGUAACCUGCCCUUGACUUUGGGAUAACUUCAGGAAACUGGGGCUAAUACCGGAUAGGAGCUCCUGCUGCAUGGUGGGGGUUGGAAAGUUUCGGCGGUUGGGGAUGGACUCGCGGCUUAUCAGCUUGUUGGUGGGGUAGUGGCUUACCAAGGCUUUGACGGGUAGCCGGCCUGAGAGGGUGACCGGCCACAUUGGGACUGAGAUACGGCCCAGACUCCUACGGGAGGCAGCAGUGGGAAAUAUUGCACAAUGGGCGGAAGCCUGAUGCAGCAACGCCGCGUGCGGGAUGACGGCCUUCGGGUUGUAAACCGCUUUCGCCUGUGACGAAGUGUGAGUGACGGUAAUGGGUAAAGAAGCACCGGCUAACUACGUG